UCGGAGUUUUAGAGUACGGAAAUUGGCAUGUUUCCUCAGCCAAAAAUAAAUUAUUUCUCUAUCUCAAUACAUAAGAAUAUGUAAGAUACUUUAAUUUAUUGAUUUAGUGGUGUACUUCGUUUACGGUAUUUUUAUAUAUGUCAAUACAUAGUAUUAUUUCUCUUAAAAUAUGAAAAUAUAUAUUAUUUAUAUAAUAUACUUAUGCUAUUUUAUACAUAUAAAACUUCAAUGUGACUAGUAGGAAACAUCCCAAUUACUUGAUUAAAUGUAAGUACUUUAAAUAUACUUUAUAUGUCUUAUGUGAAUUUUGCGUAAAUUGUAGCCUCAUAAAUGUGUACAACAAGUAUCUAAUGUUUAGCUCAAUAAUUUUUCGACAUUCGCAGAUAGGUACCUAACUAUGUAUUCUAGUUUCGUUAUUUUUGUGGAAAAUGUAUUGUAAUUUGAUAACUCUUAAUACUUCGGUCGAUAAAACUUUUUAGAAAGUAGAAUUACUUAUUAAAGCUAGAGAAUAAUUUAAAGUUUAUUUGUUUAACUAUACGGAGUCUUUUUAUACACGAGGAGAGAAAAGAAAUCCAACAAAGUAGGUAUUUGUGUAACUAAUUAUUAUGUAUUUUCACGUACGAUGUAGUAAUUUAAGUGUAAUAUUGCAUGUUUUUCCGAAACCAUUAAUAUUUAUUGUGCCUGUACAAAAAUUAAAUGGCAUCGUGUGUCACGGUUGAGGCAUACCUAUAUUAUGUAUGUGAUAAUGUAUGUAAUUCACCUAUACUUAUAUGUAUAUCUUAUCAAUAGUAACCUAAUAUAUUGAUUUUAAUUGCAAGAUAAUAAUUUGCCACAAAAGCAGUAAUUUAACUAAAAACUACGGUUUACUCUCACUCACGUAAAUAUAUUGAGGAAAGCUCUACUAAUUUCGAGUCACAGAGGGACUUUCCGUCAUGAGCAGCGUGCGCAGACGCGGCGACGUAGGUAAUGUAGGUAUAUAUAUAUAUACACUAGUGGACCCGACAGACGUCGCCCUGUCAAAAUUAAAAAAUAAUUAAAAAAACAUUGUCCAGCGGACAAAAUUGUGAAUCUAAACCAUUCUCAGAUCCCCUUGAACACACACAAAAAGUUUCAUCAUAAUCGAUCCAGUCGUUUUAGAGAAGUUCAGUGACAUACACACUUACAGAAGAAUUAUAUAUAUAUACUAGCGGACCCGACAGACGUUGUCCUGUCUACACGUCUUUAAUUUCAAAAUUUGUCGGAUCCAAUGUAAAACAUUCCAAAAUCAACAACUACUAAUAAAUUAAAAAUUAAUUAAAAAAUCAUUGUCCAGCGGACAAAAUUGUGAAUCUAAACCAUUCUCAGAUCCCCUUGAACACACACAAAAAAUUUCAUCAAAAUCAGUCCAGUCGUUUAAGAGAAGUUCAGUGACAUACACACUUACAGAAUAAUUAUAUAUAUAAAGAUAUACAUGGAUACACCGUUGUUUUAGAUAGUAUGUCACACGAUAGUUAUAAAAAAAGCAAUAAUAUCUUAUUUUAAUUUGACAAUGAGUAAAAUUUUGGAACUUUUCAUGGAGUAUACCAAAUUAUUGUUAUUUUUAAUGGCAUAAGUGCAGGAAAUGUGCAGACGCAUCACCAGAUAGUAAUCAGUGUCGCCAAUGGACAUUCGCAAUACUAGAGGAUUUACAAGUGUGUUGGCAGACUUUUGGGUAGUUUUGGGGACUGGGGAUUCGGGAAUUAGAGUAGUUAGAUCUGUAUUCUGUAUACAAAAAAACAAACAAACAAACUGUUAGUACUUAGUUUUAUUUUGCUAUCGUAUGUUCAUUAUCUGUAAGAUUAUGUUUUCAUCCGUGUAAUACCUCUUUUUCAACGGUACGACAUUUAUAUUACACGUUUUAAAAUAAAAGCACGGAAUUAAACGCAUAUGUGCAAAUCAGUGUGGCAUUUUCCUGUAUAUCUUAAGGCUGUCAGGAUAACACCGUAUCCGUCAUGACUGCGCGUAACAUCGUCCUAAUACUGUGUUGGCUGUUGGCGGGCCAGUCACAAUGGCUGGAUGGCAUCGCGAAGAGUUUGGGCUACGGGAGUGUCUAUCACCACGCGGUCACCCUCGAUGAUAGCAUACAGAUACACAAGGAGUUUACUUUUAACCAGAAAUUAUCUUUAACACGUGAGUCCGUCCUCAUAAAAAUUUUGAACACGUUUCGAUCCAAAAAUUAAUAAAAAGCAGAUAUAAUAUAUUUCCAAAUGCUUUCAUUGUUAAUGUAGUUUUACCUGACACAUGUGUUAGGCCAUAUUUCAUAAAACUUAUUAUCGUAUUCCACAUUUUAUUACUUUUUUAUCAACGGCUGUGAUUAUUAUCGAUAAAUCAGUGAAUUGAGUGAGGGGGCUUUUUUACAUAAUAUUUUUAGCUGACUGCCUCGUUGGUCGAGUGGCCGCAAUUGCGACUGCCGGGCAAUGGGUCUCGGGUUGGAUUCCCGUGUCGGGCAGAGUAUUACUGAGUUUUUUUCGCUUUCUCGAAAAACUUCUCUGUAGUAGCACGGAGUCUGGAAUUACCUAUGUCCGGUAUAUGGCAAUAGGCUCACCCCCUAUUACAUGGACUUAUAAAGAAAUGGUGAAAAGUGUGCGUACAUUGUACAGCACUGACUGCACGGUUGGCGCGGUGGCUGGGCAACUGGCUGCCGUGCAACGUGUCGUGGGUUCGAUUCCCGCACGGAACAACUCUUUGUGUGAUCCACAGAUUGUUGUUUCGGGUCUGGGUGUCAUGUGCUUGUGAAAUUAUAUGUUUGUAAACGCACCCACGACACAGGAGAAAAUCCUAAUGUGGGACAUCGUUUAAAAAAAAAAAAAGGCAGAAGUGCACAUUACAUCACUUCUGCCUACCCCUUCGGAGAGGAAGGGCGUGACGUUGUUAGUUUUUUAUUUUUAGCCAAAUUAUUUGAUGUAGAUAUUAUCUAGUGGUAUUGAUACCUAGCCGACGUGGUCAUAUUGGUGUUAUGUGUAAAUUGUACAAAUUUAAUAAAUGUUGUAUCUUAA